UACAGAGGGGGCAAGCGUUAUUCGGAAUUAUUGGGCGUAAAGGGCGCGUAGGCGGCUUGGCAAGUGGAUGGUGAAAUCCCUCGGCUUAACCGAGGAACUGCCGUCCAAACUGCUUCGCUUGAGACCGGGAGAGGUGAGUGGAAUUCCCAGUGUAGCGGUGAAAUGCGUAGAUAUUGGGAGGAACACCUAAGGCGACGGCGACCACCGAGAUCUACACUGACGCUGAGGUGCGAAAGCGUGGGUAGCAAACAGG
rnacentral:rRNA from 1 species